rnacentral:rRNA from 1 species
UAAGAACGGCCAUGCACCACCACCCACAGAAUCAAGAAAGAGCUAUCAAUCUGUCAAUCCUUACUAUGUCUGGACCUGGUGAGUUUCCCCGUGUUGAGUCAAAUUAAGCCGCAGGCUCCACUCCUGGUGGUGCCCUUCCGUCAAUUCCUUUAAGUUUCAGUCUUGCGACCAUACUCCCCCUGGAACUCAAAGACUUUGAUUUCUCAAAAAAUGCCGAAGGAAUCAACAGGCAACCGCCUCCAAUUUCUUGGUAGCAUAGUUUAUGGUUAAGACUAGGACGGUAUCUAAUCGUCUUCGAUCCCCUAACUUUCGUUCUCGAUUAAAGAAGACAUCCUUGGCAAAUGCAUUCGCAUUAGUUUGUCUUUAACAAAUCCAAGAAGUUCACCUCUGACAGUUAAAUACAAAUGCCCCCAACCAUCCCCAUCAAUC